rnacentral:rRNA from 1 species
GGUGCUGCAUGGCUGUCGUCAGCUCGUGUUGUGAAAUGUUGGGUUAAGUCCCGCAACGAGCGCAACCCUUAUCCUUUGUUGCCAGCGAUUCGGUCGGGAACUCAAAGGAGACUGCCGGUGAUAAACCGGAGGAAGGUGGGGAUGACGUCAAGUCAUCAUGGCCCUUACGAGUAGGGCUACACACGUGCUACAAUGGCGCAUACAAAGAGAAGCGACCUCGCGAGAGCAAGCGGACCUCACAAAGUGCGUCGUAGUCCGGAUCGGAGUCUGCAACUCGACUCCGUGAAGUCGGAAUCGCUAGUAAUCGUG